GACGAACGCUGGCGGCGUGCUUAACACAUGCAAGUCGAACGGAAAGGCCUGCUUUCCCUUGUGGAUUGCGGGUACUCGAGUGGCGAACGGGUGAGUAACACGUGAGUGAUCUGCCCCCAACUUGGGUAUAAGCCUGGGAAACUGGGUCUAAUUCCCGAUAGGACUGCAGGGUGGUGCCUGUGGUGGAAAACGAUUUUCUAGUAGUUGGGGAUGAGCUCGCGGCCUAUCAGCUUGUUGGUGGGGUAAUGGCCUACCAAGGCGGCGACGGGUAGCCGGCCUGGGAGGGUGGACGGCCACAUUGGGACUGAGAUACGGCCCAGACUCCUACGGGAGGCAGCAGUGGGGAAUAUUGCACAAUGGGCGGAAGCCUGAUGCAGCGACGCCGCGUGGGGGAUGACGGCCUUCGGGUUGUAAACUCCUUUCGACCGCGAGGAAGCCACCUGGUUGGAAGGGUGGUGACGGUAGUGGUAGAAGAAGCACCGGCUAACUACGUG
rnacentral:rRNA from 1 species